CCUGUCCCUAUCCCAGCACCUGUCAGGCAGCUAGGUGGCAAAUUGAAUAGAGGCUGGGUCUGGAGUCAGGAAGACCCCUCUCCCUGAGUUCAAAUCUGGCCUCAGACA